rnacentral:rRNA from 1 species
AAAUGAAUAGACGGGGACCCGCACAAGCAGUGGAGUAUGUGGUUUAAUUCGAGGCAACGCGAAGAACCUUACCAAGGCUUGACAUCCCGCGACAAACGUGGAAACACGUCUUCCCCUUCGGGGGCGCGGAGACAGGUGGUGCAUGGUUGUCGUCAGCUCGUGUCGUGAGAUGUUGGGUUAAGUCCCGCAACGAGCGCAACCCCUGCUGCCAGUUGCCAUCAUUAAGUUGGGCACUCUGGCGGGACUGCCGGUGAUAAAUCGGAGGAAGGUGGGGAUGACGUCAAAUCAUCAUGCCCCUUAUGUCUUGGGCUACACACGUACUACAAUGGCCGUUACAGAAGGAAGCGAAGCCGCGAGGCGGAGCGAAUCCCAAAAGGCGGCCCCAGUUCGGAUUGCAGGCUGCAACUCGCCUGCAUGAAGUCGGAAUUGCUAGUAAUUGCAGGUCAGCAUACUGCAGUGAAUACGUUCCCGGGUCUUGUACACACCGCCCGU